rnacentral:lncRNA from 1 species
AUUUUACACUCGCAAGAAGACGGUGUCUGUGCGUUGUGCUCGGUUCAAAAUGAAUCUUCGUGCCAUGUCCUUCUUACCUGCUACGAGGCACUCCUUGUGUGGUCUAAGGUUUGUGAUUGGAUUGAUUGUUCUUUACUUUAUGCGGCUGCUUUGAAAGAACAUUUUGAGGACUUUGUGAGCUUUGGUGUUGGGAAAGUUAAGAAGAAAAUUCUUGGCCUUAUUUGGCAAUGUGUUGUGUGGAGAAUUUGGAAGGCGAGAAAUGAGAAGAUUUUCAAAAACUCAAUACCGAUCGCGGAGAACAUCGUGGAGAGUAUUAAAUUCUGCUCAUGGA